rnacentral:rRNA from 1 species
UACGUAGGGGGCAAGCGUUGUCCGGAAUCAUUGGGCGUAAAGAGCGCGUAGGCGGUCCGGUAAGUCCGCUCUGAAAGUCCGGGGCUCAACCCCGGGAGGCGGGCGGAUACGUGCCGGGCUAGAGUCCGGAAGAGGCGAGUGGAAUUCCUGGUGUAGGCGGUGAAAAUGCGGCAGAUAUCAAGGAGGAACACCGAUGGCGAAGGCAGCUCGCUGGG